GAGGCACUGGCACAGGUUACACAGGCAGAUGGUGGACACCCUGUCCCUGGACACAUCCAAGAUCAGGCUGGAUGGGGCUCUGAGUACCUGAUCAAUCUCCCCAUGGAAUGCUGCAUCCUGGCUGCCCAGAACUGGUCCUGAGCGUCAGCACAAAGCCCUGUGACCACACUUAAUCCCAAACCAGGGAUGACAAUCCGGGUCAAAACCAUUCAGUUCGUCAGCAAGAAAACAUCUCCAUUGGGAAAGGCAUCUUGGAAGGGAGAGGCCCCACAACAGAAGGAAGAAAAUCUGUCGUUGCAGGAAUAAACAGCGACUCAAACCACAGACGAGAUUCUUGGAGCAUGGGAACAGAUGGAUUUAAAGAUAUGAAACAUCAUCUGAAUUCUUCUGAUGCUGGUUCAGACUGAUACUUGGGAAAUGAUUAGUAACAAACUGGUAUGGCAGACCUGUCUUCCAUCAGCUCACCUUCACGAUCCGGGCACUAACUCUGUCAGAUAUUUCUUCAUGCUUAUAUUCACAGGCAUGCAACCAAGCUGGUGAAAAAGAUAUAUUACAGGGGAAAGAGUUUGGUGGAAAUUCAUUCUUCCCCUUCCCUUCCCUUCCCUUCCCUUCCCUUCCCUUCCCUUCCCUUCCC
rnacentral:lncRNA from 1 species